rnacentral:lncRNA from 1 species
UCUUCCUCUUCCCUCUUUUUCAUCUAUUCUGUUUUCAUAUUGAUUAACUAUACCAAUUAUUAAUUUAUUUCAUUUUUUCGAAGGAAACAAUUAAUCGAUAGUUUACAUUUUAUGAUUAUAAUAUUUCAUUUAUAUGAAUUCUUACUCUGUUCAUGCUUAUUGAUCAAUUUCACUUUCUCAUAGUUCAUGUGUUUAUUUAAUAAUAUUUCUUAUAUAUGCUUAUAUCAGGGUUUAAUAUUUUAAUCAUAUGUUAACGAUUAUUUAGUCCGUAAUGGAAACAAAUAGUUUCGUUUUUGCAUGCAAAAUAUAACCUAGUAGUUUGGUAGCAUCUUGAACAAGAGGAAUGACUAUGGUUUGGAUAGGAAAAUGAAAAUGCCUAAUUUGUGUUUCUUUGUUUCCCUCUUUCAAUAUGUGAUUUUGUAUUUUUGUGUAUUACUCUAUUAAAAAUUGAACAAUUUCUGAUUUUGGUUCUGGUUUCUUAGGUUUUGACCUGAAAAAUGGGAGGUGGUAAAGACAAUCAUGAUGAAUCUGACAAAGGAAUUUUCUCACAUUUAGCACAUGGGAUGACUCAUGGUGCUCAUGGUUACCCACCUGGGGCUUACCCUCCACCACCAGGUGCAUACCCUCCACCUGGACAUGGCUACCCUCCACAAGGGGGUUAUCCUCCAGCUGGUUAUCCCCCUGCUGGUUAUCCUCCUGCUGGCUACUCUCAUGGUGGCUAUCCUCCGGCAGGUUAUCCACCUGCUGGUUAUCAUGGUCCAUCUGCUCCUCAUGCUCCAGGUAUGAUUCCCUUCGUUCUUUAUUUUUCAAUAUUAGUUAUUUAAUUAUCUGAUUGUUACAAAGACUUGAUAUUAUUGUUAUGAAAUUUGUGAAGUUACUUCCGGCUCUUGAGUUGGCUCAAAUUUGUUGAGUUAUUGGUGUUUUUCAAACCAUGUAUGAUUAAUAUUGCAAUUUGCAAAUGUGGGAUUGUUUAGCUAAAAAAUCAAUGGCAAAAUAACUAAUUCUAAGGUCACUAGUUAAAGAACAAUUUUCUUUUAAAAUGUAUAGCAGUUAAUUUCACUAAUGCAUUAAAUAUUGUAUUUCAAUACAAAGUUUGUAUAUAUUUUUUUAUUUCUUAGGAUAAACCUAAAAACAAUUCAUAAGGGAGACUUCCUUUGACUGUUUUAAAUGGUAGCUUGAUUUGUGAAUGUAUCAUCACUGUGUUUUUGGUCCUCAGCCAUUAACAUUCUCAGUGUUGUUUUUAUGUAUAUUAAUUUUGGCUGCUGUCUACUAUAUUUGAAACUUUCGUUGACUAUAUUAAUUUUGUGAGUGCAUUCACAACCAAAACUUUAUUUGACUGUUGUAACUGGUAGUUUGAUUUCUGAGUGUAUUGUCACCACAUUUUCAAUUUAUAUAUGAAACUUGUUAUGUUGUUUAUUCAAACCUAUUCAACCGAUGCUUUGCCUAUUUGAUAGUUUUUCUUAUCUGCUGUCUAUAACCAAAGUAAUAUGCUUGAAGGCAACUAACUUCUCUGCAUUGCAUCAGGG